rnacentral:lncRNA from 1 species
CAGGUGGGCACUCCUGAGGCUGCAGAGCGGAGGAGACCACCAACACUGCCCACACUUGCCCACAUCCCUGGCCCAAGAGGAAACUGUAUAAGGCCUCUGGGCUCCCGUGGGGGAGGGCCCAGGAGCGGCAGGACCCCUGCCUGAGACACCGCCGGAACCUGAAGGAAACAGACCGGAUAAACAGUUCUCUGCACCCAAAUCCCGGGGGAGGGAGAGCUAAACCUUCAGAGAGGCAGAAAAGCCUGGGAAACCAGAAGAGACUGCUCUCUGCACACACAUCUCGGACGCCAGAGGAAAACACCAAAGGCCAUCUGGAACCCUGAUGCACUGAGGCUCCUGGAGGGGGCGGUGCAGAUCUUCCUGGUUGCUGCCGCCAUAGGGAGACCGAGGGCAGCACCCCGUGAGUGAACUUGAGCCUCAGGACCACAGGUAAGACCAACUUUUCUGCUGCAAGUGACCUGCCUGGUGAACUUAAGACACAGGCCCACAGGAACAGCUGAAGACCUGUAGAGAGGAAAAACUACACGCCCGAAAGCAGAACACUCUGUCCCCAUAACUGAUUGAAAGAGAGGAAAACAA